AGCGAACGCUGGCGGCAGGCCUAACACAUGCAAGUCGAACGGACCCUUCGGGGUCAGUGGCGGACGGGUGAGUAACACGUGGGAACGUGCCCUUUGGUUCGGAACAACUCAGGGAAACUUGAGCUAAUACCGAAUGUGCCCUUCGGGGGAAAGAUUUAUCGCCAUUGGAGCGGCCCGCGUCUGAUUAGCGAGUUGGUGGGGUAAUGGCCUACCAAGGCUACGAUCAGUAGCUGGUCUGAGAGGAUGAUCAGCCACAUUGGGACUGAGACACGGCCCAAACUCCUACGGGGGGCAGCAGUGGGGAAUCUUGCGCAAUGGGCGAAAGCCUGACGCAGCCAUGCCGCGUGAAUGAUGAAGGUCUUAGGAUUGUAAAAUUCUUUCACCGGGGACGAUAAUGACGGUACCCGGAGAAGAAGCCCCGGCUAACUUCGUGCCAGCAGCCGCCGUAACAC
rnacentral:rRNA from 1 species